rnacentral:rRNA from 1 species
GAUGAACGCUAGCGGGAGGCCUAACACAUGCAAGCCGAGCGGUAGAUUACUUUCGGGUGAUUGAGAGCGGCGUACGGGUGCGGAACACGUGUGCAACCUGCCUUUAUCAGGGGGAUAGCCUUUCGAAAGGAAGAUUAAUACCCCAUAAUAUAUUAUUCGGCAUCGGGUGAUAUUGAAAACUACGGUGGAUAGAGAUGGGCACGCGCAAGAUUAGCUAGUUGGUGAGGUAACGGCUCACCAAGGCGACGAUCUUUAGGGGGCCUGAGAGGGUGAUCCCCCAAACUGGUACUGAGACACGGACCAGACUCCUACGGGAGGCAGCAGUGAGGAAUAUUGGACAAUGGGUGGAAGCCUGAUCCAGCCAUCCCGCGUGCAGGAAGACGGCCCUAUGGGUUGUAAACUGCUUUUAUCUGGGGAUAAACCUACUUACGUGUAAGUAGCUGAAGGUACCAGAAGAAUAAGCACCGGCUAACUCCGUG